UCAGUUUUCUGUGGAUCGUCUCGUCUGCUGCUGCUGCUUCUGCUGGAUGCAUCUCUGCUUGAGUUCCCGAAAUGUCUGGCCAUUUGGAAUGGAUAGCCCAUGGAAUGUGGAAGAAUAUUUAUGCUAAAUGGUUUUUCGAGUGGGUUUUUGUAUACUG